rnacentral:rRNA from 1 species
UACAGACGGUCCAAACGUUAUUCGGAAUCACUGGGCUUAAAGAGUUCGUAGGCGGUCAGGAAAGUGGGGUGUGAAAGCCCUCGGCUCAACCGAGGAAUUGCGCUCUAAACUGCAGUGCUUGAGGAAGCUAGAGGUGAGCAGAACAGAUGGUGGAGCGGUGAAAUGCGUUGAUAUCAUCUGGAAUACCGGAGGCGAAGGCGGCUCACUGGGGCUUUUCUGACGCUGAGGAACGAAAGCCAGGGUAGCGAACGGG